GUGAGUUUAAGCAUGCGCACUAAGAGAGGCAAAAUGGCAGUUAAACUGGUUUCCGACUUUCCUCUGGAACGCUCGACUGCUUAAGAGAAAAAUGCCUCAAAUGAGCAUGUGCACAACUCCAGCAAACACGCUGGACAUGCGGCCUCUCCCAAGUGCUGGCAGGCCACUGCACAUGUGGACCCACGGGAAGAAUCAGGAGAGAAGAAAUGCAAACCCCAGAGUCAUGCCAAGAGCUUGUGCUACAGAACUGCUACAGUAGGAGCAGUUGUGGUUGCUGAUAAUAGCGUGCCGUACACAGGAUUCUUAUCUGCUCAUCAGAUGCUAUUUUUACAUUAUGGUUGAAACUUUUUCCUCCUGCACUUAAAGUGGC
rnacentral:lncRNA from 10 species